UACGUGGGGUGCAAACGUUGCUCGGAAUCAUUGGGCGUAAAGCGCGCGUAGGCGGUUACUUAAGUCGAAUGUGAAAGCCCUCGGCUUAACUGAGGAAGUGCAUCCGAAACUGAGUAGCUAGAGUACGAAAGAGGGUCGCGGAAUUCCCGGUGUAGAGGUGAAAUUCGUAGAUAUCGGGAGGAACACCGGUGGCGAAGGCGACUCACUGGACAUGUAUUGACGCUGAGGUACGAAAGCGUGGGGAGCAAACAGG
rnacentral:rRNA from 1 species